ACAUAAAUGCCUGUACUGCGUGUUUUAGUUGCAAAACUUAAAUGUAAGAAACAUAUUCAACUAAAGUUAUGAUUACAAAGAACUUUUCGAAUGUGUUAAAUUGAUUGUAUUAAUAUCUGCCGGCAGUGGGAUAAUGGAAUUUGCAUCAUUACGUCAUUGUGAGUGACGUCAUUACGUAAAAGAACUGGUGAAUUGGAUUUUUGAACUGGUUCAUUAAAUUGAACUGUCCGAAAGAACCAGUUCGCGGAAAAGAACCGAACUUCCCAUCACUACUAUGUAGUACAUUGCAGAGUGCAUAGGAAUGAGCCUCGUUGUCUUUUCAAAUGACAGUCCUGCUAUUCCUCAACAAGGUACACGAGUCUGGAUCAGAACCUAAUCAACACAAACAUCUCCUCAUUCAUUUCUGCAUUGUGCCUCAUGUUCGGGAGCUACUACUAUUUUAAUAUCCAUUAUCCAUCUGAGCUGGCUUCAACUCUGGAGUUUCUUCGAAGUUUUUUUCUGAAUAAACCCAGAAAAGGGAACUAAAGUACAGAAUAAAAACUCUAAGCAGCCUCUCAACUUGAACCCUUGAGUCCUCACCCUGAUACAGGAAGUCUCCGAUCACGAGUGGCGUUAAGCCUGAAUAUGGACUCUUUCUGUUGACUCUAACUGUUUGAGAAGAGGUACUGUUUUCACUUUGUUAAAUCCACAAUGUAUUAUGGUUAAGGCACUAUGUAAUUUUAAACUCUUAAAGGUGCAUUGUAACUCUUUCUGUUAGAGGGUCCAAAUGUACCUUGUACUUAUUCAAAUAUAACUGUUUUUUAUGCAAAGAAAUACCAACCUGCAUUCUUACUGUAAGGGGGCUCAUCUCUGCACAGAUAUGACCUCUAACUUGGCCUAUUGGUAUCACCUGAUUGUCUCUAUGGAGAUCGAUAAGUCUUAUGCCAUACUGUGGAACAUUCCAGACAGGGAGAGUGUGGGUGGUUGUUGCUGUGAAUUGGGUUGUUGUGCGCUUGGCACUUAAAGUUUGUCUCAAAAAAUGUCCAGAUUUAAAGAGGCUGAUCUUCUGGAGUAUUUCAACUUGGAUUCAGUCAGAGUUAAAAAAAAAAAAAAAAAGGGGGGAUUCACACUCCACACACAAACUGUUCAUCCGGAAGCUAGCUUCUUUGUAUCUUGUAUAAAAACGGGCCAAUUGUUUUAUGCCAUACUGUGAGUUGUUGUGCGCCUGGCACUUAAACUUUGUUAAAAAAAAAAAAAAACUUUUCAAACUUAGUUUGAAAAAAAAUGCAUCCAGUUGUUUACAACUAUUUUGAUGGCUGUUAAAAAAAAUUUUUUUGCAAAAGUGAUAUUUUCCUCUCUUGUCUUAUUUCAAGAUGUAUUUUUAAAAUUUACCACAAUAUAACUUCAUUAUUUAAACAUAAAAAUACAGCAUAUUAUGGAUAUUUUAUGUAUAAUAUACAGGACAUCUCCAUUUAAAAUUCAAAGUUUUACUGUUACCAGUUUAAAUUAGAUUUUGUUUGAUAUUUCCCUGUUAAUUUGAUAAUUUAUUGAUGCACAAUAAGCAAUUAUUACAUGUAUAUUUAUAUACAACACAGUUAUGUGAAUUUAACAAAAAUUGUAGAAUUGUAGACUUAAUUUUUUAAUGUGAUGUGAUCAUUUCAUUCACUGUAAAUCAAUUUACAUAUUUUGUCCAUAAAGGUCAUCUACGCUGCUGCUUUACUUUUUUUUUUUUUAACAGAAAUUCUCUGGUAACCACAGCUGCCACCCUUUUCCUGUAAAAACGAGUUUGUUUGUUUUUUACAGUGUGCAAGUCAUGCUUUUUUUGAAGAAAGAACAUGAUGAUUUAAGAUGAUUAAGAGAUACUACUGGAGGAUUUGCAUGCUUGUCAGAUAAACAGAUUUUUCCCCCAAAACUUUUCCAGUGUGUUUUUAUAUAUGAUUAUCCUUAGAAAGUAUACAGACACACUACCUUUACUGCUUACUUAUGAACUAUUAAAAAGCUUUGUUGUGUGGUGACUUGCACAUGAAUAAUAGAAUAAAAUAAUUUUGUCAUUGUACAGCUGUACAACGAAAUUGAGGCUCUCACAUAAAAGCACACACAUUCACAAACACAUAGAAUGUAAACAGAUAUAAUCGUAGGUGUAAACAGACAGAUGUAAACAGGUAAAAUAUAACAUACAGAAUUAUACAUAACAUACAAAAUAACUACAUACAGAAAGUGCAGAAUUCGGCAAGUGCAAAUGUAAGCAAAAAUGUACAGUCGGAGAAUAAAAGUAUAUUAAAGCACACCUUUAUUAAUUUAUUUUGUCUGAAAUUUCAGGUUACUUACGUAAAGAGUAAAAUUUGUUGUACUACAAUCCAACACUAGAGGGAGACAUACACAUUUUGGUUUCCCUUCAGACAGGUGGCAUAUUUUUGGCCAGCAUAUAGAUAUAAUUCUAAGCCUCACUGUUUCUAAGCUGCUUGUGCAACUCUGCUAUUUUAGAUGCACUGUCUUCCAAAUAUAUUACCCCAACUUCAGUUCUGUUUUCCUAUCUUCAUACAUAUCUACUUUUAAAAUGUGGCAUAUUUACAAUGUUUGUGUUUUGAAACACAAUAAUAAACUUGCUUGGACAUCCUGAAUGCGUCUUGCAUUUUACAACAUCUUACAUACUGUAUAACUGAGAUGGAUGUUCAUGAAUAUGCCUUUUUGUGUUCAUUCUAGGAGGCAUAGGGAAAUGUAAUUUAGGCUAGAUUGUGUGUGGCACUUAGUUUAAUGCACUAUCUGGGUCAUUGGAUUUAAAAUGGCACUGGACCAGUGUUGUGUAUUUUUCUUAACAGGCAGGGUAGCUGAAAGCCUUCUUUGCUAUUUUUUUCUGAGUAAGUACAUUACCCUGAUCGAGGUGAGAGGACAGUAAGUCUGUGAAAUGCUUGUCUUUAAGCCAGUCUAACAAGCUCAUUAUCCCAUAAAGGGAGCUACAGUUUUUCAUUUGCAACUCAGAGAUUCUGAACUCCUUACAGAGACAUCAGCAAUAUGGGAUUCCUAAAGGAAGCUGUCAUUUUUUCCUAGCUAAAAUAUUAACUGCAUGUGCUCCCAUAUCUGCCUUCAAAAGAUUUUUUUUUUUUUUUACCAAUAAAGAAGUGAUACCUUCAGUAGAGCUUGUAUGGUCACAGUUUAGCCAAAUUACAGUGAAUGUAAGUUUAAAACAUAAGCCUUAAACAACUAAAAUAUUUACUUUAGAUUGUCAUUAAUAUACUAAUAACGAACUAAUCAUAUUUUACUAGUAUGUUAUAUAGCAUUAUGAUUUGCUGUAUAGGUACCUCAGAUAACAGAUGUCUGAUGACAGCUACCUGUCAGAUCCCCGGACGGAGGUGGAUUGGAGACAGACCUGUACGCAGGAUAGCUUCAAAUGAAAGGGGUUUAAUACAUAAAGAAGACAAACAUAAUCCACACUACACAGGGAACUAACGAGACUAAUUACAACAUGCAACGCGGCUCACAUAUAUACACAAACGGAACAUCAAAACAAUGGGGAACAGAUGUGAUGACCGGGAGGAGUAGGCGAAGGCGGGGCAAUCACGUGACACAAACAAACACAAACACAAAUGGCCAAAAGUCUGCGCGGAUCCCUGACAGAUCCACGCUGAUCCCUGACACUACCUUUAUUGCCCAGUAAAUAAUAAUAUAUUUACUGAAAACCUGAAAAGUUAUCUUUAUUAUUAUUUUAAUUAAAAUUUUAUCUCUGUUAUUUCUUGCAGAUAUAAAAGUAAAAUGAUCAAAUUAAUAUGGACUGUCUACAUCAAAGUGUUUACUGGUGUUAUUGACUGAUUUUCAUUUGUGAGGUGUUGGUGAAGAAAUUAAAAAAGAAAUCAAGCAGAUUGUGAAUAGAUGAGAGUUUGAAUGAAAAAUAUUCCAGCUGUACAAGUCAAGGGCCCAUCAAGCAAGUUGUCGUAGCAACCACAUAUGAGUUUAUGGAAAGAGCCUUUAGCAUGGACAAAACAUUUUGUUUUGAUAGACAGUAAACAUUAGUUACGUCAUUUAGUUUUAUGUAAGUGGACAUCAUCUGAAUUCUGAAUAAGCACUAGCUUAUUUUUUAUUUUGAUUAGAACUGCAUACAUGUAGUAAUACCCACCGCUAUCUAUGUUAAGACCUUAUUUCCUUAUGCACCCAUCCCAGAAUAAACAAGAAACAACAGAAUAAACAAGAAUUUAAGGGGUGAAAAUAGAUACAAAUCUGCAUUUAUUUCAGAGAGGAGUUAAAGGGUCUGAAAAUGGAUCUAGAAUGCAGUAAGAGUAAUGAUGUAGUGUUUUUAAUAUUGUUAAUUGCUUACUUGCAUUGGUCCUUCUUAAAUGGCUUCUUAUUUCAGCACCUGGUUUAACUGUGAAUGUCAUUGAACAGUUUUGAAUGUCAGGCAAUACAGUUACCUGUAUCAGAGUAACAGAUGCAGUUAAAUUUUUUUAUGUGAAAAUGCAAAGUCACAAUCAGGAAUUUCCAUACAGCAAUUAUACCUCAAAAUGGAACGAAAAGGCAGGUAUUUUAAAUGUGUAUAGGAAAAGGAUAUAGGAAAGUAUACUUAAAAAUCAUUUUAUAGUUUUUGCUUGUUUUACACUGCUUCACACUGACUGCACUUUUUAUCCAAAUCACUUUUACUCCUGUUUUAUUCUUUUUAACAUAUUUUAAACUGUUUUUAUUAAA